rnacentral:rRNA from 1 species
ACGGCUCAGUAACACGUGGAUAAUCUGCCCUUAGGUGGAGGAUAAUCUCGGGAAACUGAGGAUAAUACUCCAUAGAUCUAGGAUGCUGGAAUGCACUUAGAUUAAAAGUCCCGACGCCUAAGGAUGAGUCUGCGGACUAUCAGGUAGUAGUCAGGGUAAAGACCUGACUAGCCUACGACGGAUACGGGUUGUGAGAGCAAUAACCCGGAGACGAUAUCUGAGACACGAUAUCGGGCCCUACGGGGCGCAGCAGGCGCGAAAACUUCACACUGUGCGGAAGCACGAUGAGGGAAUCCCAAGUGCUUGCUCGUAAGAGUAAGCUGUUUUUAUGUUUAAAAAGCAUAGAGAGUAAGGGCUGGGUAAGACGGGUGCCAGCCGCCGCGGUAAUACCUGCAGCUCAAGUGGUGACCACUAUUAUUGGGCCUAAAACGUUCGUAGCCGGUUUAUUAAAUGCUUGGGUAAAUCGUGUAGC